rnacentral:rRNA from 1 species
AAUAGAUACCCUGGUAGUCCACGCCCUAAACGAUGCUCACUAGGUGUUGGGGAAGCGAUUCCUUGGUACCGUAGCUAACGCGUGAAGUGAGCCGCCUGGGGAGUACGGCCGCAAGGUUAAAACUCAAAGGAAUUGACGGGGGACCCGCACAAGCGGUGGAUGAUGUGGAUUAAUUCGAUGCAACGCGAACAACCUUACCUACCCUUGACAUGUCCGGAAGCCUGCUGAAAGGCGGGGGUGCUCGAAAGAGAACCGGAACACAGGUGCUGCAUGGCUGUCGUCAGCUCGUGUCGUGAGAUGUUGGGUUAAGUCCCGCAACGAGCGCAACCCUUGUCCCUAGUUGCUACGCAAGGGCACUCUAGGGAGACUGCCGGUGACAAACCGGAGGAAGGUGGGGAUGACGUCAAGUCCUCAUGGCCCUUAUGGGUAGGGCUUCACACGUCAUACAAUGGACGGUACAGAGGGUUGCCAACCCGCGAGGGGGAGCCAAUCCCAGAAAGCCGUUCGUAGUCCGGAUCGCAGUCUGCAACUCGACUGCGUGAAGUCGG